rnacentral:rRNA from 1 species
AUUGAACGCUGGCGGCAGGCCUAACACAUGCAAGUCGAGCGAGCGGCGGACGGGUGAGUAAUGUCUGGGAAACUGCCUGAUGGAGGGGGAUAACUACUGGAAACGGUAGCUAAUACCGCAUACCAUCGGAUGUGCCCCGAUGGGAUUAGCUAGUAGGUGGGGUAACGGUUCACCUAGGCGACGCUCCCUAGCUGGUCUGUGAGGAUGACCAGCCACACUGGAACUGAGACACGGGCCAGACGCCUACGUGAGGCAGCAGUGGGGAAGUUUGGACAAUGGGUGCAAGCCUGAUGCAGCCCUGCCGCGUGUAUGAAGAAGGCCUGCGGGUUGUAAAGGACGUUCCGCGGGGCGGCGUAACCUGCAGAAGAAGCACCGGCUAACUCCGUGUCAGCAGCCGCGGUAAUUC